rnacentral:rRNA from 1 species
AGAGAGAGUUCAAGAGUACGUGANNNNGUUCNGGGGUAAACGGGAGAAAUCCUGAAUUCGAAAGGGGUCGGAUUCCAGUCUGUCCAGGUGUCCGGGCUGAUCCGUGCCAGAUGGCGGCGGAAGCCCGCGGCGAUUCAUUUCGCUCGCGGUGUCUGUCCCGCCGUUCACUCGGUCGCGGUUUCGAGUCCCGGUCCUGGCGUGCCGCACUUCCACCCUUUGUAGAAACGUCGCGACCCGUUGGGUGCCGGUCUAAGGCCCGGGAAGGCAGACCGUGAGUUCCGCGGGUCGACCCCGCGGGCUCGUGGACUCCCGGUGUACCCGGCCGGCUGCCCGACGGUAUGAUCAGAGGAGGCGAUCCGCUUACUUGGGAAACACUUUGGCUGUGUUGCGUCCGCCCCUUCGCCGCGUGGCAGGGAGGUUUAAAAAUGGGUGUCCGUGCCCGGCACGGCCCCGGCCUCUCCGCGUCCGCGGUGUCGUGGUUCUUGGACUGGAUCGAUGCUCCCGUCUGCGACGCCCAUUUUCGGAUGGUCUCCCG